GCUUUCAUAGCUCAGUUGGUUAGAGCACCCAUUUAGUUAGCGGUAGGACUUGAGUUCGAAUCUUAAUGGAAGCA
rnacentral:tRNA from 1 species